rnacentral:tRNA from 2 species
CCUCCGGUAGUGUAGUCCGGCCAAUCAUGCGGCCCUCUCGAGGCCGCGACCCGGGUUCGAAUCCCGGCCGGAGGG